GGAGGUAGUUGGUGCGAGAUCAAGAUUCAUAUUUGAGCUGCAUGUCAUCUGCUUCAUUUUGAUUCACUUUUUCUUGUAGCCUCUGAUGGAUCCACCAUCUCCUGCUCCUUUUGACCCCGAGGUGCCAUUCCUCCCACCUGCACCACCACCACCACCACCACCACCAGCAGUAGGCAUUCUGGAUUCAUGCCUGUGGUGUCUUUGCUGCUGUGGAUUGUUUACGAGUUGCUGCCCACCACUGUUUCAGCCUGGACUCCCUCCUCCACUCUGAAUCCAUGAUGUGGAGAAAUCAGAUGGAUGCUUUUUAGUGUGUGUCUCCUCCACCUGUGAUCGAAAAGAGGGAUUGGAAUGGGAUGUUUUGAUAUGAUUAGAACCGCGACUUAAAUUUUUCCUUCAUUUGUGGCCAAAAGUGGACUCUUCAUGUUCUUCCAAUCCA